GUGUAACGUUUUCUUUUUAUGCUUUUUAAAAUUGAAAAAAAUUUUCACUUGAGUUAUUUUAUUAUUUAUUUAUUUUUAAAAUUAUUCUGUUUUAACGUAAUUUAAUAUUAAAAUUUUUUUAUCAUCAAUCCGAUGGUUACACAACACUUUACCAAAUGAUUAUGUUUUCAUAUUACGCUGCGAGUAUGUUACACAACAUUCUGGUGUAUAAAGUACGUCUGUUGAAUCUGAGCAGCAAAGGCACAUAGAAAAAAUGGCAAUAUAAAUUUAUGGUCUUGAAAAUUCAAAAGAUGGAUUAAUCAAUUGAUAUUGAAUUGAUAAUCUUGUCUGGCAGACAAGUCUGAGAGUAUAAAAUAUAAUAUUAUAAAUAAAAUAAUAAUAUCCACUCUCUUUUAUAUUUUGCUAUUCCAUAUUUGAUUCAAAUUACCGAUGACCCGCGCUAACAUAACACACGAUUCUCAUUCGACUGAAUCGUUUUAAACUUACAACAAUUCACCUUCCUCUUAUUAUAUACGCGAGUACAACAACACCGCACAGUAAUGUAAGGCGUGGCGAUCAAUUACGAUGCAAUCAAUAAAUCUAUAUAGACGAUUUCAAAUAAAUUUUAUAUCACUUUCUCACGUUUAUAUUUUUUUUUUUCAACUUCUGUAUUAUUAUUUUAUCUUUUAUUUCCGAGACAACCACUAGUCUUCGUUUCUUCUUCUUCUUCUUCUUCUUCUUCUUUUUUUUCUUCGGCCUAUCAAUCAUCCAAGUUCUGAUUGCCGAAUAAUUAUUGAAAUUGUCAAUCUUCAAUGGAAUGCCUCUCUGGUACUCGUGAGUUUUGACAUCAAAACAAAGAUAAGUGUGAUUUUUUUACAAAAGAAUAAAAAUAACAGACUUGUAAUUUAUAAUAAUUUUUUUUUUUGCAGAACAGUUCAAGGAAAUCAAUGCACAGAGGUUGAAUCCCAUCGGCGAUGGGAUAGAAGAAUGAUGAUAAUGAUGAACCGGACGAACGGGCACAACAAAUGUGAGCGAUGCGAUGACAGUCACAGACGAUUGCAAGCUAAGAGUUAAACAACACGACGUUCGAGCGACUACUAGACCGGUUGGUUGGUUCGUUGGUUGGUCGUUGGUUGGUUGUCUGAUGAUGUUUGGAUGUGGUAUAAAACACUGUAUACCACACGACACGGAUAUCUGUAUGUCUGACAAUGAGAGUGAGUGCACAUGACAAGAGCUAACUCAGGAUGCGCAUGUACGAGCUCUGCUCACGAGUUACAUUAUAUUAUAUUAUGUUAGAAGUUUGAUACUUUACUCUGCUCUAUUAUACUCUAUUCCACACUACACACGUAUAUGGAGUGUGGAUCAUCUGCACGGUAUACAGUAUAUGUACAACUAAGUCAUGUGAAGACCCGAGAAGGUUCAACCCGCCCAGGGGGUCAUGUUGCUUACACUUAUAUUUAGAUUGUGUUUAGUUGUAUUACGUAGUUAGAACUAUUCACGAGAACAAACUUAACAU